rnacentral:pre_miRNA from 1 species
AGUGGAAUUUCGGGGACAUAUGGUAACUAUGUUUAACUUUUUGAGGAAUGACCAAAGUAUUUUCCAUAGUGACUGAAUCAUAUUAUAUUCCCAUCAGCAAU